GGGAGGGGGUGUGUUUGUGUACAUGAAGGGGGGCCUUUGACACUCUUCACCCCGCCCCUCCCUUGCUUAGUCGCUCGGCUGGCCCGGCUCACCUUCGGGGUGAAGGCUACCAGCGAGCGUUAUAGCAGACGACUUUAAUAAAUGCAGGCGGCAGCAGGAACUCUGGGAACUUGGGUGCCCUUGCCUGGCAGUAAGGGUUGAAUUAUCCGGAUCUGAAAUACUUUACAGAGCCGAGGGGUGAUAGGCUCUGCAAAAGCACUUUUUGCCCCUCUCCUUUAUGCCAAUACUCGCUGACUGUGCACACAAGUCAUAUUCAGUAUUAAAUACAAACCGGUCUGUAAUUCAAUGGCUCUAGCAAGACGCCUCUGAGAGGGCCAGGUGGCGGGUGCAAGUUGCUCAUUAACCCUUUAGAGUCGCAGUUUGCAGAUCUGAGUUAGAUCCCCGGCUUUGAGGUCCUUCAGUUGCCCUCCUCCCCCACCUCCCCCCGCCACUGCGAGAAAAAUGUGCAAAGAGAAGGAAAUUUGCACAUCAAACGAGGGUAAGAAGGAAGAAGAGCUAAUUCUCUUUUGAUGGGAAGUUUAGAGAGGGAGGCGAGAGACUGGCGUUUAGAAAUUAGAUCAGGGGUGGAGGGAAGAGGGAAAUGACCAUCCGAUAAUCAAACCAUUUAAUGUUGUUCUUUGAAUCAGGGCAAUCGCGGCGGUAGAUGAACUUGAUUAGGCAGACGCGUGAGAUCAAAGUGGCCGGGACCAAAGCGGACAGGGUCCAACGUGCCAGGUCAGUCGCCUUUCCCCGGUUCUCCCUUCUCAGUGGUGGGCU
rnacentral:lncRNA from 1 species